UCAGACGAUGCGUCAUGCAUAUCAAUAAGCGGAGGAAAAGAAACUAACAAGGAUUCCCCUAGUAACGGCGAGUGAAGCGGGAAGAGCUCAAAUUUGAAAUCUUAAAGGGUUUCCCUUUACGAAUUGUAGUUUAAAGAAGUGUUUUCUGUUGAGGUUUUGGUAAAAGUUCUUUGGAAUAGGACAUCAUAGAGGGUGAGAAUCCCGUAUUUGACCUUUACUUUCAAACUUUGUGAUACACUUUCAAAGAGUCGGAUUGUUUGGGAAUGCAGUCCAAAAUGGGUGGUAAAUUUCAUCUAAAGCUAAAUAUUGGCGAGAGACCGAUAGCGAGCAAGUACCGUGAGGGAAAGAUGAAAAGAACUUUGAAAAGAGAGUUAAACAGUACGUGAGAAUUGUCAAAAGGGAAGCGUUUGACACCAGUGUUGUUUUUCUGAAAAUCAAUUAAAGAACUGUUUAUGCUAAGCUGUUUAGACUUUAUCAGCUAUCUGUUUAGUUUUGAGCUUUUCUUUAAUGCACUUUUCAGUUAACAAGUCAACAUCAAUUUCUUUUGCUGUAAAAAAGCUUGAGGAAGGUGGCUUGAGAUUCGUCUUAAGUGUUUAUAGCCUCUUGCCUAUGCAGUCGGAGAGAUUGAGGUCUGCAGCGUAGAUCCUUCGGGGCUAAAUGCAUUUGUGCUAAGUUAUAGCAUUUUAUAGACAACUUGUUGACUAUGAUUUGUCUUGUAGCUUACUCGCUUAUGUUAGUUUUACCUACACUUAGGAUGUUGACACACGCGCGUGCUCG
rnacentral:rRNA from 1 species